CAGUCGCCGCGGUAAUACGAAGGGGGCUAGCGUUGUUCGGAAUUACUGGGCGUAAAGCGCACGUAGGCGGAUUGUUAAGUUAGGGGUGAAAUCCCAGGGCUCAACCCUGGAACUGCCUUUAAUACUGGCAAUCUCGAGUCCGAGAGAGGUGAGUGGAUUUCCGAGUGUAGAGGUGAAAUUCGUAGAUAUUCGGAGGAACACCAGUGGCGAAGGCGGCUCACUGGCUCGGUACUGACGCUGAGGUGCGAAAGCGUGGGGAGCAAACAGGAUUAGAUACCCCAGUAGUCCCUGUCUCUUAUAC
rnacentral:rRNA from 1 species